AUUCAUGACUCUCGUUCGCGGGAGAAAAAUCCCCAUCCGCUGUUCCUCCGCCCGAUCCCCAAUUCCACCGGCGGCACUCGCUUGGUUUCCAUGGUGGCUAGGCCAGAUCCCGCAAAUCCAAUCCAUCCCCUACCUCCACCACCCGGCCUAUGACUCAUGGUGAUCCUUCUGGUCAUGGAUUGCUCGUCGCCCACGGGUACGCCCCUCUAGCACUGGCGGCCUAUCUCCUCUGUGGUUGGAUUCAUGGCGAGCCAUGGGAACGACGAAUCAAGGUAUCGGACUGGUGCUGCAUCCCUGAACAGGCGCGCAGCAUGGCCAACCUUGCUCCUACGGCAGAUCCUUGUGGUGGAAGAGGAUCCUGGGGGCAUGGAGAAGCUGACUCCGAUCCAUGGGAAGUUACCUGCAGCCCCUCCCGAAGUAUCAGAUUGCACCCCAAAUAGAGAUCUACUGGCUGCAAAUCCAAACACUUGAUUAGGUGAAGAAAUAGAAGCCAACGGCUACCGGUGCAGAGCAACGGCUACCAUAGCAGAGCAACGGCUACCAAAGCAGAACAACUGCUGAGGCCAACGGUUAAACUGAAAUGUAUAUUUUAUUUGUAUAAAUAGUGGCUGUGAAAAAGUAUUGUAUUUCAUUGUCUUGUGGCCACACCUUAGGCUUAAGGAUCAUUUUUGGCGGAUGGUGCUUGUGGUUUGGACGCACAAUGGUGAAGAUGCAUAACUGUAGUAGCAUUAAAUGCUUAAGGUUACCUUUUUCCUA